GAUGAACGCUGGCGGCGUGCCUAACACAUGCAAGUCGAGCGGCAGCGUGGGGUGCUUGCACCCUGUCGGCGAGCGGCGGACGGCUGAGUAACGCGUGGGAACGUGCCCCAAAGUGAGGAAUAACUGCCCGAAAGGGUAGCUAAUACCGCAUAUUAUCUUCGGAUCAAAGGAUUUAUUCGCUUUGGGGGCGGCUCGCGUCGGAUUAGGUAGUUGGUAAGGUAAUGGCUCACCAAGCCGACGAACCGUAGCUGGUAUGAGAGGAUGAGCAGCCAGACUGGAACUGAGACACGGUCCAGACUCCUACGGGAAGCAGCAGUGAGGAAUCUUCCACAAUGGGCGAAAGCCUGAUGGAGCAACGCCGCGUGCAGGACGAAGGCCUUCGGGUUGUAAACUGCUUUUAUAAGUGAGGAAUAUGACGGUAACUUAUGAAUAAGGAUCGGCUAACUACGUG
rnacentral:rRNA from 1 species